CAGCAGCCGCGGUAAUACGUAGGGUGCGAGCGUUAAUCGGAAUUACUGGGCGUAAAGCGUGCGCAGGCGGUGAUGUAAGACAGUUGUGAAAUCCCCGGGCUCAACCUGGGAACUGCAUCUGUGACUGCAUCGCUGGAGUGCGGCAGAGGGGGAUGGAAUUCCGCGUGUAGCAGUGAAAUGCGCAGAUAUGCGGAGGAACACCGAUGGCGAAGGCAAUCCCCUGGGCCUGCACUGACGCUCAUGCACGAAAGCGUGGGGAGCAAACAGGAUUAGAUACCCGAGUAGUCCCUGUCUCUUAUAC
rnacentral:rRNA from 1 species